rnacentral:lncRNA from 1 species
UAGUGUCAUGUUAGAUGAGUGUCAUUAUUAGCCUUCUUUUUUGAUGAAUGUCAUCUCUGUAGAUCUUUUGGUCAAACUUGAUUUUAAGUUUUUAACAAAGAAUGAUUUUUGUGAUAUCAUUAUGAAUGAUACUAUAAUUAUGCGUGAAUAAUUAAAAUAUGGCAUAUACAUGUUAUCACAGCCUAUUGGUGUAAUGUAUGUAUCAAACAAAUAUCCUAGGAUAGAUAAUGUCAAC